rnacentral:snRNA from 1 species
GUGCUCGCUUCGGCAGCACAUAUACUAAAAUUGGAAUGAUACAGAGAAGAUUAGCAUGGCCCCUGUGCAAGGAUGACACAUAAAAAGAAAAAAAUUUUUUU